rnacentral:lncRNA from 1 species
AGCCCCACGGCCGCUGCUGCCGCUCUCGACCACCUCCAUCUCCAUCGCUCUCUCAUCCGAGUGGGCAGCAGCACCGCUACCGCCGCCGCCGAGGCCCCUCUGCCCUGCUACAUCCCCAACUCACGCCACACACACCAACACUCACAACAAGAAUCAAGCACAAAAAGUUUAGAGCUUUAACAAGAUUAAGAGGUUUCUUUCUUUUCUGCAAAGAAUUCAUGAAAAAUGUAUGUAGUCUGAUAUGGUUUGAGAUUGUGUAAAGAAUAAAUGAAAGAUGUAUAAAGAAAAGGUAGAACCUUUGUGAAUGAAUGAUACUGGUUUCGAUUGCUUCUAUUGAUGAAAUCGGCUUUGCUGUUUUCUUGAGAACUCGAAGAUUGUAUGGAUGGAUAAGUUCAUGUUCUGAUGUUUG